rnacentral:lncRNA from 1 species
AAAAAGUAACACCCUCCAAAAAAAGUUUCGAAACAAAUCCUUUUUAAGAAUAAGUUUCUAAAAGGAACCCACUUUAGUCAAUUUGCUCAAAGGAUAAAGCAUUGAUGAUAUAUAUAGCAACCCUUAUUUUAAGAACAAAAUGGGAAGAAUCUCUUGAGUUGGGACCAUGUUUUGUUUCCGAGAAUUUGGUAAGAAAAUGAUUGUAGAUGGACACCUUGAUUA